GAUGAACGCUGGCGGCGUGCCUAAUACAUGCAAGUCGAGCGAACGGACGAGAAGCUUGCUUCUCUGAUGUUAGCGGCGGACGGGUGAGUAACACGUGGAUAACCUACCUAUAAGACUGGGAUAACUUCGGGAAACCGGAGCUAAUACCGGAUAAUAUUUUGAACCGCAUGGUUCAAAAGUGAAAGACGGUCUUGCUGUCACUUAUAGAUGGAUCCGGGCUGCAUUAGCUAGUUGGUAAGGUAACGGCUUACCAAGGCAACUAUGCAUAGCCGACCUGAGAGGGUGAUCGGCCACACUGGAACUGAGACGCGGUCCAGACUCCUACGGGAGGCAGCAGUAGGGAAUCUGCCGCAAUGGGCGAAAGCCUGACGGAGCAACGCCGCGUGAGUGAUGAAGGUCUUCGGAUCGUAAAACUCUGUUAUUAGGGAAGAACAUAUGUGUAAGUAACUGUGCACAUCUUGACGGUACCUAAUCAGAAAGCCACGGCUAACUACGUG
rnacentral:rRNA from 1 species